AUGAAAGGUGAGUGGUUUUACUUUUCAAUGACACUCACCAUCUAUGGUUUUGUCCUUUUAACCAUAAUAUUGAAGGUUGAAAGGUUUAUUAAAUUUUGGCAUUUUGUUUUUCAAUGUUGCUUUUUAUAUUCUACAAUAAAAUUAAAGCAAUGCUCUGUUGCUCUUUGUAGUACUCCUAGUGCAUAUUUAGUUCAAUUUGUGUUAUUUGAAUAUUAUAUAACUGGAGACACCUUAUGUAUAUAUAUAUAUGAAAUAUCAUAUACUAUAGGUUACAUCACUAUCACCCAUUUACUCUCGGUCAUAAAU